rnacentral:rRNA from 1 species
UUGAAGUGUGGACGCCAGUCUGCAUGGAGCCGACCUUGAAAUACCACCCUUUAAUGUUUGAUGUUCUAACGUUGACCCGUGAUCCGGGUUGCGGACAGUGUCUGGUGGGUAGUUUGACUGGGGCGGUCUCCUCCUAAAGAGUAACGGAGGAGCACGAAGGUUGGCUAAUCCUGGUCGGACAUCAGGAGGUUAGUGCAAUGGCAUAAGCCAGCUUGACUGCGAGCGUGACGGCGCGAGCAGGUGCGAAAGCAGGUCAUAGUGAUCCGGUGGUUCUGAAUGGAAGGGCCAUCGCUCAACGGAUAAAAGGUACUCCGGGGAUAACAGGCUGAUACCGCCCAAGAGUUCAUAUCGACGGCGGUGUUUGGCACCUCGAUGUCGGCUCAUCACAUCCUGGGGCUGAAGUAGGUCCCAAGGGUAUGGCUGUUCGCCAUUUAAAGUGGUACGCGAGCUGGGUUUAGAACGUCGUGAGACAGUUCGGUCCCUAUCUGCCGUGGGCGCUGGAGAAUUGAGGGGGGCUGCUCCUAGUACGAGAGGACCGGAGUGGACGCAUCACUGGUGUUCGGGUUGUCAUGCCAAUGGCACUGCCCGGUAGCUAAAUGCGGAAGAGAUAAGUGCUGAAAGCAUCUAAGCACGAAACUUGCCCCGAGAUGAGUUCUCCCUGACUCCUUGAGAGUCCUGAAGGAACGUUGAAGACGACGACGUUGAUAGGCCGGGUGUGUAAGCGCAGCGAUGCGUUGAGCUAACCGGUACUAAUGAACCGUGAGGCUUAACCUUACAACGCCGAAG